rnacentral:rRNA from 1 species
AUUGAACGCUGGCGGCAGGCCUAACACAUGCAAGUCGAGCGAGCGGCGGACGGGUGAGUAAUGUAUGGGGACUGCCCGAUAGAGGGGGAUAACUACUGGAAACGGUAGCUAAUACCGCAUACUAUCGGAUACCACAUAUGGGUUUAGCUAGUAGGUGGGGUAAUGGCUCACCUAGGCGACGAUCCCUCGCUGGUCUGGGAGGAUGAUCAGCAACACUGGGACCGAGACACGGCCCAGACCCCUACGGAGGCAGCAGUGGGGAAUAUUGGACAAUGGGCGCAAGCCGGAUGCAGCCAUGCCGCGUAUAGGAGGAGGGCCCUAGGGUGGUAAAGUACUUUCAGUCGGGAGGCGGUACCGACAGAAGAAGCACCGGCUAACUCCGUGCCAGCAGCCGCGGUAAUAC